rnacentral:lncRNA from 1 species
CGGCCUGGGUGAUGAGGCCUACAAGUUCCUAUAAUCUAGGACUAGGUGCCUAUGCCAUCUUCCUAAGAAAGAUAGUUGGAAUAAUUAAUUUAUUAACCACAAAAUGACCUUAAUGAUAAACAACCCCAAGUAAAUAUAUGCUAUCAUUUCCUCAAAUAUUUCUUUUAACAUGCUCUGAUACCACCUAAUGUCAUGCCCUUUCCCAAAUCUGG